UUGGAGGGCAAGUCUGGUGCCAGCAGCCGCGGUAAUUCCAGCUCCAAUAGCGUAUAUUAAAGUUGUUGCAGUUAAAAAGCUCGUAGUUGAAUUUCGGGGUCAGCAGGUUGGUCGUGCCAAUGGUAUGCACUGGCCUUGCUGAUUCCUCCCUCUUGAUGAGCCGUAAUGUCAUUAAUUUGGUGUUGCGGGGAAUCAGGACUGUUACUUUGAAAAAAUUAGAGUGUUUAAAGCAGGCAAGCGCUUGAAUACAUUAGCAUGGAAUAAUGAAAUAGGACGUUUGAUCCUAUUUUGUUGGUUUCUAGGAUUGACGUAAUGAUUAAUAGGGAUAGUUGGGGGCAUUAGUAUUCAAUUGUCAGAGGUGAAAUUCUUGGAUUUAUUGAAGACUAACUACUGCGAAAGCAUUUGCCAAGGAUGUUUCAUUAAUCAAGAACGAAAGUUAGGGGAUCGAAGACGAUCAGAUACCGUCGUAGUCUUAACCAUAAACUAUGCCGACUAGGGAUCGGAUGAUGUUAAUUUUUUAAUGACUCAUUCGGCGCCUUACGGGAAAC
rnacentral:rRNA from 1 species